GUGCUUGCUUUGGCAGCACAUAUAUUAAAAUUGGGCUGAUAUAGAGAAGAUUAGCAUGGUCCUAUGCAAGGAUGACAUGCAAAUUCGUGAAGCAUUCCAUAUUUUA
rnacentral:snRNA from 1 species